rnacentral:rRNA from 1 species
GUGGGGAAUAUUGGACAAUGGGCGAAAGCCUGAUCCAGCCAUGCCGCGUGUGUGAAGAAGGUCUUCGGAUUGUAAAGCACUUUAAGUUGGGAGGAAGGGCAGUAAGUUAAUACCUUGCUGUUUUGACGUUAUCGACAGAAUAAGCACCGGCUAACUUCGUGCCAGCAGCCGCGGUAAUACGAAGGGUGCAAGCGUUAAUCGGAAUUACUGGGCGUAAAGCGCGCGUAGGUGGUUUUGUAAGUUGGAGGUGAAAUCCCCGGGCUCAACCUGGGAACUGACUCAAAAACUGCAUGACUAGAGUACGGUAGAGGGUAGUGGAAUUUCCUGUGUAGCGGUGAAAUGCGUAGAUAUAGGAAGGAACACCAGUGGCGAAGGCGACUACCUGGACUGAUACUGACACUGAGGUGCGAAAGCGUGGGGAGCAAACAGGAUUAGAUACCCCAGUAGUCC